rnacentral:rRNA from 1 species
UACAGAGGAGCCAAGCGUUGUCCGGAUUGACUGGGCGUAAAGCGCACGCAGGCGGUCGCGCGCGUGGGGUGUGAAAUCUGGCCGCUUAACGGCCAGGCGCCAUCCCAUACGGCGCGACUGGAGUGAUGCAGAGGUCGGUGGAAUUGCCGGUGUAGUGGUGAAAUGCGUAGAUAUCGAGAGGAACACCUGCGGCGAAGGCGGGUUGCUGGGCUGACACUGACGCUGAGGCGCGAAAGCUAGGGGAGCGAACGGG